rnacentral:rRNA from 1 species
GAUGAACGCUAGCGGCAGGCCUCAUACAUGCAAGUCGAGGGGCAGCAGGACACUUCGGUGUUGCUGGCGACCGGCGCACGGGUGCGUAACACGUAUGCAAUCUGCCUUGUACUGGAGCAUAGCCUUCGGAAACGAAGAUUAAUACUCCAUACAGUCUUACUAGCGCCUGUUAGUAAGAUGAAAGCUCCGGCGGUACAAGAUGAGCAUGCAUCCCAUUAGCUUGUUGGUGAGAUAACAGCUCACCAAGGCGACGAUGGGUAGGGGUUCUGAGAGGAAAAUCCCCCACACUGGCACUGAGAUACGGGCCAGACUCCUACGGGAGGCAGCAGUAGGGAAUAUUGGUCAAUGGGCGCAAGCCUGAACCAGCCAUGCCGCGUGCAGGAUGAAGGCCCUCAGGGUUGUAAACUGCUUUUGUAUGGGAAUAAAAAAGUCCUUGCGAGGACUCUUGAAGGUACCAUAAGAAUAAGCACCGGCUAACUCCGUGCCAGCCGCCGCCGUAACAC